AAAAUGCGAUAAGUAAUGUGAAUUGCAGAAUUCAGUGAAUCAUAGAAUCUUUGAACGCACAUUGCGCCCGCCAGUAUUCUGGCGGGCAUGCCUGUUCGAGCGUCAUUUCAACCCUCAAGCCCCCGGGUUUGGUGUUGGGGAUCGGGCUGCGGUUCUACCGCGUCCCGGCCCCGAAAUCUAGUGGCGGUCUCGCUGCAGCCUCCAUUGCGUAGUAGCUAACACCUCGCAACUGGAACGCGGCGCGGCCAAGCCGUUAAACCCCCAACUUCUGAAUGUUGACCUCGGAUCAGGUAGGAAUACCCGCUGAACUUAAGC
rnacentral:misc_RNA from 1 species